rnacentral:snRNA from 1 species
GGAUGUGAAGGUGAUCUGGCUGCGACAUCCAUCACCCCAUUGAUCGCCAGGGUUGAUUCAGCUGAUCUGAUUGGCUGGGUGGUUGUCCCCUUCCUCCUUCAAUGCUCCCUGUGUGUGCACGCUCAGUUGAAGAGGACAACCACUCCCAAUACAAGAGGACCAUUCCUCGGUCAGGGGUAUACAAGUAGCUGCACUCCCCUGCUAGAAAAUCCAAACAAACUCUCAAGGUCCAUUUGUAGGAGAAUGUAGGGUAGUCAAGCUUCCAAGACUCCAGACACAUCCAAAUGAGGUGCUGCAUGUGGCAGUCUGCCUUUCUUU